AUUAAUUUAUAUCAAGUUGUAGAGAUUUGCUUUCAGUUUGAGUUUAAGGAAGAUAAUUUUAGGAAUGUUUACUUUCUGUAUAUUUUUGUAUUUGAAAUGGCAUAAACACAUUAAAAUGUGUGAAAUUACAAAGUAUUCCAAUACUUCUGGAAGGCACUGUAAAUAAAUCAUCACUUUUACAGCAUAUGACUUUUUAAGA